rnacentral:tRNA from 7 species
AUUUAUAUAAUAUAUUUAGUAUAUUUGACUUCCAAUCAAAAAGUUUAAUUUUUUUUAAUAUAAAUA